AUGCUGUCCCCAAGCGAGGCACCUGAUGGAUCGUCUUCAUCCUCAACAGCUGCAGCCCAGCUUCGGCACUACAUUCUUCCACCUGCAGGUCCAACAUCCGCAUCGAGCAGCAGUGUGUCGGUUCGAUGGGAGAAGUCGGUUUUCAGUCCCUCAUGUAGGCCAUGCAGUUUAUGGCGUAUGUCUGUGUCCAGGCCGGUGCUUUGUGGACAGACCUUCAAAAUUCAGGACAUCUUGAAGGAGAAAGGUAGGGUUCUCUUGAGGAAGUUUGGGUGCCUCGGUGUAGCAGCAAUUGCUGAGUAUAUCUUGAAGGAGAUCUUUCUUUCUGGUAAAGUAUGUUUUGUUUAUGUAGAUGUCCAUCUGUACUAUAAUCUGGUAGUAAUGAAACAAUAG
rnacentral:rRNA from 1 species